UACAUGGGGUGCAAACGUUGCUCGGAAUUAUUGGGCGUAAAGCGCACGUAGGCGGUUUGUUAAGUCGGAUGUGAAAUCCCUCGGCUCAACUGAGGAAGUGCAUCCGAAACUGGCAGGCUUGAGUACUAAAGAGGGUCGCGGAAUUCCCGGUGUAGAGGUGAAAUGCGUAGAUAUUGGGAAGAACACCGGUGGCGAAGGCGGCCUUCUGGACAGUGACUGACGCUGAGACGCGAAAGCAUGGGGAGCGAACAGG
rnacentral:rRNA from 1 species